GAGUUUGAUCGUGGCUCAGGAUGAACGCUAGCGGCAGGCUUAAUACAUGCAAGUCGAGGGGCAGCAGGACUGUAGCAAUACAGUUGCUGGCGACCGGCAAACGGGUGCGGAACACGUACGCAACCUUCCUUCAAAUGAGGAAUAGCCUUUCGAAAGAGAGAUUAAUACCUCGUAACAUUUUCUGGUGGCAUCACUGGAUUAUUAUAGCUCCGGCGUUUGAAGAUGGGCGUGCGGCUGAUUAGGUAGUUGGCGGAGUAAUAGCCCACCAAGCCUACGAUCAGUAACUGGUGUGAGAGCACGACCAGUCACACGGGCACUGAGACACGGGCCCGACUCCUACGGGAGGCAGCAGUAAGGAAUGUUGGUCAAUGGACGCAAGUCUGAACCAGCCAUGCCGCGUGGAGGAUGAAGGUCCUCUGGAUUGUAAACUUCUUUAUCGGAGAAGAAACCCCCAGUUUUCUUGCUGGGUUGACGGUACCCGAUGAAUAAGCACCGGCUAACUCCGUGCCAGCC
rnacentral:rRNA from 1 species